rnacentral:rRNA from 1 species
AUUGGGUGUAAAGCGCGUGUAGGCGGCUUGUUAAGUCUGAUGUGAAAGCCCCGGGCUCAACCUGGGAAGUGCAUUGGAUACUGGCAGACUUGAAUACGGGAGAGGGCAGUGGAAUUCCUGGUGUAGGAGUGAAAUCCGUAGAUAUCAGGAGGAACACCGGUGGCGAAGGCGGCUGCCUGGACCGAUAUUGACGCUGAGACGCGAAAGCGUGGGUAGCAAACAGGAUUAGAUACCCCCGUA